rnacentral:rRNA from 1 species
AGUGAACGCUGGCGGCGUGCUUAACACAUGCAAGUCGAACGAUGAAGUCCUUCGGGAUGGAUUAGUGGCGCACGGGUGAGUAAUAUAUAGGUAAUGUGCCUCUUAGUCUGGGAUAGCCACUGGAAACGGUGAUUAAUACCGGAUACUCCUUCUAAUCUAAAGGUUAGUCGGGAAAGUUUUUCGCUAAGAGAUCGGCCUAUAUCCUAUCAGUUAGUUGGUGAGGUAACGGCUCACCAAGGCGAUGACAGGUAGCGGGUUUGAGAGGAUGAUCCGCCACACUGGUACUGAGACACGGACCAGACUCCUACGGGAGGCAGCAGUGAGGAAUAUUGCACAAUGGGGGAAACCCUGAUGCAGCAACGCCGCGUGGAGGAUGACGCAUUUCGGUGUGUAAACUCCUUUUAUAUGUCAAGAAAAUGACGGUAGCAUAUGAAUAAGCACCGGCUAACUCCGU